rnacentral:rRNA from 1 species
GACGAACCGUGCAAACGUUGUUCGGAAUCACUGGGCUUAAAGGGCGCGUAGGCGGGUUCCCAAGUCGGUGGUGAAAUCUUUCAGCUCAACUGGAAAAGUGCCGCCGAUACUGGGAGUCUUGAGGGAGGUAGGGGUCGAUGGAACUGGUGGUGGAGCGGUGAAAUGCGUAGAUAUCGGGAGGAACACCGGUGGCGAAGGCGGUUCUCUGGGCCUGUUCUGACGCUGAGGAGCGAAAGCGUGGGGAGCGAACAGG